rnacentral:lncRNA from 1 species
AAACGAUGAUUUAUUUAUUGAUAUGAUCAAAUGAUGUAUAUAAGAAAUUUUGUGAUGAUAUAAAUUGAAUGCAACUAGGUAGGUAGGUUCAGUUGCAAGAAAGGGAAUCAAAUCUGCUCAUAACCAAAUCUGCAUUGCACUAGUGGCACGACAGUGCUAAUUUCAGUUGACUACAGACACAAAGCACACGUGGUUUCACAUUAGUUUCGGAAACACAAACACAACAUUCUAAAUAAGCAAAAUGUUAGAAUUAAACACACAUGUUUAAUUGGAAGGGAAUCUCCCCUUGUUAACUGCCAUGCCGUUGCCAUCAGGCAACCGACACGCCUCUCCCUUCGCGUCCCUCUGUAUCGUCGCGUCCCUACGGGAUGUAUAUAUUGUAACAAACCCAAUCAAUUAGAACAACGAUUCCACUACUUAGUCAAUUAUCUAUCGCUUACUUUGCAAUACGUUAUCAGCACGCUCCCGGCAGAGCGAUUCUAUCGGCGCCUGGCUACGACCUCGCUCGCUCGCGAGUUCAACGACCGCGGCCCUCGGUUCGGCGUGGUGGCGCCUGCUACCGCGGCGGCCAUCAGCCCGGCAAAAACGCUUCCAAGCGGCAGCCUCAAAACUUCGCGCCUCGCACCCUCGUCGCCAGCCGUGGCCACGCCCGCCCACGCCGUGGCCGUUCCUGGCCGCGUCGGCGCUGCUCCCCGGCCUCCCCAGCCGCGCCCCGCGCCAGGUCGUGGCCAUGCUUGCAUGCUUGCUGUGCUGCCAUGGAAUAGCCAAUCUAGCACUUUCUGUGUGGAUUGCUGACCGGCGACGGAUAGAGCGAGAUGCAUCAGAUCUUGGUCUGACGGGGGGCCUGCGGUGCUGAGAUGUGGACCUGCAUGCCUCGCGCCAUCGCCAUCUGGCCGCGCGGGCCGCCCCGCGCCUCGGCCGCCACACUGCCGCGCCGCCGGACUCGCGCCCUCCACGCCGCGCCCCAGACCACGGCCUCCGCGCUGCGACGCGCCCCCGUGCCCGGCCGCCCGUCUGCGCGCCCUCCUGCCCGUGGCCGCGCCGCGCUCCCGCGCUCAGCCGCGCCCUUGCGCGCGCCUGUCCUGCACCCGUGCCGCGGCCCCCCUGGCUUCGUGCCCGUGGCGCUCGCAGAACACGCCGACGCCAACGCGGGCCGGAGCAGCCUCGCGGAGAGGUUUUACGGCCGCACCAUGGCCGCCAUCGACCACCGCGCCAGGACUUGAGCACGGCCAGCCGAUCGAGGUCGUCAUAAUCGACGACGACGACGAGGCCGCGGCGCUGCCGUCUCCAACCCCUGCGGUUGUUGAAGCCGAAGCCAGCGAUGUGGUUGUCGAUGCGGACACUGUCGGGCCGUCGCGCCUGCCGUCCCCACCGUCCCGCUGGAGAGUCCGCAGUCGAGCAGCCGCUCCAGCCGCGCAGCAGCGGUGCUCACGCUCGCGGAUGGCGCCUACAACGGCGUCGCACCCGGCACCCACCUCCGCGGUGGCUCCUCCUCCAGGACGAGCGCGGCAGGAGAUCUUCUCAUCGGUGAUACGGCCGGUCAGCCGGCGCUGGGGGGUCUCCGCCGGUCUCCGCUCUGGAUUUGGGAUUGAAGUGACUCGGGAAUUCGUAGACCUGUUUAUUUCAUCUAGUCGCUCUCCCUUAUCUACUCGGUUUGACCAGGCCGAGGCUGCCUUACGUGAUACGUGGCCAUAUGCAUGCGCUGGGAAUUUAGGCAUCCAGCAUAGCAUGCCACGUUUUGCUUAUUUGCACAUUUGUUUCAGCAGAUUAGCAUCUACCCCUCCGUUCCUAAAUAUCUGUCUUUCUAGAGAUUUCAAAUGGUCACCACAUUCGGAUGUAUAUAGACAUAUUUUAGAGUGUAGAUUCACUCAUUUUGUUCCGUAUAUAGUCACUAUUUGAAACCUCUAGAAAGACAAAUAUUUAGGAACGGAAGGAGUAGACCCGUGUGACUAACAUCAUUUCUAGUCACUGUUUUAGACCUGUUUAUUUCAGUUUCAGUAUUGUUUUUUGUCUAGUAACUUAUAUUCCAGAACAUAUGUGUGAUGUGAUAUAUUUCCAUGUCCUACAUGUUGAAAUUAUACAUCCACAAUUUGCAAUUGAGAUUUUUUUAAUCUCUUGCAAUGAUAAAUUCAGUACCUCUGAAGUACGGUUUCUCCGUUGAGUGCGAGGUAUUCCGGAAUAUUUCUAUGAUGUAUUUAUUUCCAUGAUAACCACAUGUCGAGAUUAAUACGUCUAUUUGCAAUUGAGAUUUUCAAUUUCUUGCAAAUACGGAUGCAAAAUUCAAGGUGAUUUCUUCAAAUUGAUGCUUGAGAUCACAAGAUAGUCAUAUAGAUCUACUGCCUACGCAGAUUAUCAAUGACUACUGUUAAAGCCUACAUUUUGUCAUUUCGACAUUAUGAUUGCUUUACAAAGUGCUCUCCCACAUAUGUUACUAUGUUGUGACAUAAGGCAUUACGAGUGAGUAUCUAUUGAUUUCAUCAGAUUAUACUCCCUAGUGCUGCGAGAUUACUCUAUUUUGGAGAUUAUCUUUAAAGUGACAUACUUAGCAAUUUGAGAUUCACACUAAUGGUUUCAAGCUAAGUUCUUGAAAUAUCCAUUAAUUUUGCAAUAUUCAUUACAACGGUAACCAUGAUGGUCUUUAAUUUACUGAUAGUAAAUUAAUUAUCUUUGGUAACCGAUGGCUAGAGAAUUUAAGGCAUUCGCCUUCACUGGCCACCACUGCACUACCUGGGCCAUGAACAUCAUGAUUGCUCUUGUGUCUCGUGGGAUAAUGUGUGGAAUUCAAGACCUGUCAGAUUCACCUACGGUUGGAGUCACACCACUAACAGAAUAAAAAUGUUGCCUUAUGCAUCAUAAGGCAUUAUAUCGAUCCAGAUAUCAACAUCUGCUUAUUCUGUAUUAGCAAUCCCUGUGAUACAAAGGACCUCAAGAGUAAAGGUUUGAAGCUCACUUCAACCUUCAACCCCGACAUCAUUGAAGGUGACGGGACCCUUUGGGCAUGGAGAACGUGAUGGUUGAAUAUGUCUCAACCGACAUGUUUGGAGACUAUGAACAGUCUCUCAAUCUCCUCAGUGGUCAAUAUAAUUUAUGUCCAUUUACGAUGUUGUAACAACAACAUAAGUAUUGUUGUCAUCAUAUAUUGUAUAUCACAAUAUAUUGUAUCAGCACUUUGAUACAAAUUCAUUUGUAUGUAUUCUAUAUAUCCGACAGUGAUUUUCUUGAGAAUCUUCAUGUCUAUAUAUAGAUUUCUACGGGAGUCAAUCCGAUGAAAAAUGAUAUGUGCCUUGUGGGCAUAUGCACCACAAACUCUAUACUCAAGGAAGUCCAAUGUUUCCACUCUCAUUGAGAGAAAGGAGAUAUUUUAAAAUCCCUAGACGCGAUGAGGUAUUUGUUGGCACAACUCGAGUCACAUUUACUAUCCCUGUGGGUACUCGAGUAACGUCGGGAUGCUUUAUUGCUUCCCAGGUUUAACUCGUACCCUACUAAACUAUGGAGGUAUCCGUUAAAAUAGUUUUCAUAGAGAAACUUAUGUUGACAAGAAAGAGAAAUACAUUCUCUUUACCAUAUGCAACGGAUAUGGCAAGCACAUUCUCCAUGUAUCAUCUGGAUUGUACUACACAUACUACAAAACCCGUAGCACAUGUUGCGCCCAAGAUAGUUUUCCAAAAUGUCUUGUACAUGAAAAACUUGGCAUACUCGCCUUGGUCAUCGAGACAUUGGGUUGAAACCGAAACUAUUAGCAAUUCCAAUAGUUUAUGAUUAUUAUGAUGCUAAAUUCUAACACCAUUUGGAUUUUAUGUGCACUACAAGUGACACAGGGAAGCUAAUUUUAAGGCUUGCACACCUUAAAGUCUACGCUGAACCACUCAGACUCCUUGAAUGCAUCAAGUUGAGGUAAGUGGCUCUUCCCAUCCAUUGACUAGACUAUUCAGGUAUUCCAUGGUUCUAAAAGACAUAUCAAUAUGAUGGUCUUAAGUGUGUGCUUUAUUCACACGAAACCAUUGGCUCAUUAUCCUGACAUCGAUUUCAAGCAAAUCGAAUGGAUAACAUUGCAUAAUUCUCCUUGAGUGCCUUCUCUAUGGCCCUUGGAUUGAAGUUUAGCAAUUUGUCCUAAUGUCUAGACUCAAAAUGGUUUGGUAGAAUAAUACCCAAAGAGUUAAGCUCAUUGCAUUAUCUUUAUUUUGGAAUUGCAACUUACCAACUUUACGUUGGAGUCAUACAGUUUUACACGCUCAUGACAGAACUGCAUAAUAUUAUUCCCCUCUAUCUUUGAUAUGUGGAUAUCUAUCAAGUAUUUCCCAUCUGCGGUAAUUCGGUUGCAUACCGAUAUCACCACCCGGCAUACAUCAUUGGCCCAUCAACAUAUAGCUGGGAUCUAUGUGAGGAAUAACUAUAUUUCCGUCAUACCUCAAGCUCCUCGCAUGGGGAGUUAUUCAAGGCCAGUAUGCUGAUUCAAUGAGGAACAUUUCCAGGCAUUAGGGGGAGAUUUCAAGUACCAUAAAGAAUGCCAGGAAAUUAGUGGAAUGUUCAACACAUUUCUGCCACAAAUCCACGUACUCAAAGAUCUGAACCAUGCGUUCAGAAGAUUUGCAACACAUUGCAAAUAACCUGCCAGAUUCAUUUACUGACUAUAAAGGUGUCAUACAAUCCUACAAUCUUGAAAAAUAUGUCGGAAAGAGUGGAGGUACCAACUAAAACCACUCAACUCCCCAUUCAAAGCAACAGGGGGAGAAGUACAGCAAUAGUAAUCAGGAUUCAGCUUCUCGCAAGCAAGGAUAUCAAGGCCCGUGAAUCAGUAAAUGCAAGUCAACUUCACGUUGACAGACACCUGAUGGGUAGUAUACACCCAGUGGACGGGAAACCUCCACCAACCCAGGUCAUAGUGCACAAAAUGACCGGGACAUCGGAAUACCUGACUCAAUCGCAUUGGGAAAUCGCGAGCAGUCACUAUGGGUAACGAUAUUUCCAUCAAUUAUAUAUUGAUAUAUAGAUUCUGGAGAAACAUAUAACCAGAAGUCUACAAUUGUCGACAUACAUUUCUCAACUAGAUUGAAAAAACCUUUCAAGUGAUUCAGAUCCAAAGACCAUGGCCAUAGCAAAGUGUGAACAACACUCGGACUGAACUCAAGCAAAGGGUAUAAUCUAUCUAGGUAGAAAUAAUCUUGCUCAAUAAUGAGAAGGUACUCAUAAGCAAUACCUACACCAGUUUUCUUCUGGAAAUAGAAUUGAGAACAACGAGGUGGUGAAACAAAGAGCAAAUAUUGUAGCACAAGGGUUCACACAGAUACCCAACUAUUCUCCAGAGGUGGAAUCUCAUUCCGAUAACUUAUAUAAUUGGCAGUUCAAAAUCAUCUAUCUCUGCAGUUGAUAGAUGUAGUGAUUACAUAUCCAUGUAGAUCACUAGAUUCAGAUAUAGAUAGUUCCCAAUGGAACCUCAAUUCUGAAUUGAAGUACAAAAUGCAACAUACAUUGUGUAAACUCAAUAAGUCACCAUAUGACUUAUUAUUAUCGUCGGUACAUUUGGUGCAACCGACGUAGUGAGUUCCUUAUUCACAAGGAUUACUCCUACAAUGAUGAUUAUCCAUGUUUGUGUGUCUGCAAUGACGACACAUGUAAUCAUCUAAAUGACGGAGUUUAAAAUGAAGGAUUUGGGUAAACCAAAAUACCGCUCGUUACUAUAACUUGAGCACCUUCAUUCAUACAUUACGGUAUACUAUGUUGUCUAUAUCCAUAAUAUAUUGGAGAAAUUCAUUGUGGACAAAUCUUAUCCAUCCAUAACUCUCAUGGUAGUUUAUUCUCUAGACAUAAAGAAAGAUCUAUUUAGACCAAGAGAUGAUGGAAAAAAGGAUAUUGGGACUCAACGUUCCAUAAUGCCAUUGGAUCCACCAAACACAAUUGGUUGGAACUCAAGAAUAUCUAUCGAAAUCUCCAAAGGCAUCAAACAUCUUGUCCUGGUUUUUUAGUUUCACAGAAAUGUGAACACCGAUAUCAUUGGAUACAUCGAUUAGAUCCCCACUAUGUCAGAUCGUAGAAAAGCUUAGUGUUCAUACUAGGUGUGGUAGCCCUCUCAUGAAGAGUCUUCCAAACAGACCUCUUGGCUACAUCCAUCAACCAUUAUCGCAAAGAUAAUGUUGCUUGUGUUGCCCGGAUGCAAACAGGUUACGUAAUAAGCAAUAUCGCUAUAUUGCAUAUCUUGCAAGUCAAAUCAUGUGAAUGAUUUGUUCACCAAGUCUCUACCAGCUUCUACAUUCCAGAAAUACAUUCAUGGAAUUGGUAUGUGAUGGCUUCAGAAUUUGCAAGAAUCAGGGGGCGUACCUUCCUGAAUUGUUCCUGUUCAAAGCAUCAUAUUAUACUCUUUUUUCCUUCAUGAGUUUCCUUUAAAGGUUCUUAUAAAGGUUUUUGAUGAGGUAAUAUCAACAUGAGAUCAUAUGCCAUACUUUCUGUUUUCCCCAUCAGGGUUUUUAAGAUAGUAUAUAUGACAUAUUUAUUGUCCUCUAAACUCUGUGAGUUUUCUCGUAUUAAGUUAAAAGAGACAAUAACCAUUAUAUGUUGCAUCAUUUUCUCCUUAUUUUUCCCACUCGGUUUGAAGGAGUUUUAGCAACAUAUUCUACACUACUCAUAUUUUUCCCACAUGGUUUUUGGAGGAGACUCUUUCGAGUUGAUGAUACUACAUGGACAAGCGGAGAUUAGGGGGAGUGUUAGAAUUAAACACACAUGUUUAAUUGGAAGGGAAUCUCCCCUUGUUAACUGCCAUGCCGUUGCCAUCAGGCAACCGGCACGCCUCUCCCUUCGCGUCCCUCUGUAUCGUCGCGUCCCUACGGGAUGUAUAUAUUGUAACAAACCCAAUCAAUGAGAACAACGAUUCCACUACUUGUCAAUUAUCUCUCGCUUACUUUGCAAUAC